UGCUAGUGGCAGAGUUGGUGUGUGA
rnacentral:piRNA from 1 species